UCUCCCUCCCCGAUAGGUCCAGGCAGAGAUGGAAAAAAACAACAACAAGGGCUUUAAAAACAUCCACAUUGUUCCGUCCAUCAGUAACAUCUGGUUAUCAAACCGGGGUACUGUGGCUACAUUCUCCUGUUUUUCGGCACAUUGUUUAUUCUCCUCCAUCUCCGGGGAGGACAGAAAUCAAAGUUUACAGUUUUUUUCUUGCGUGAACUCAAAACGCGAACAUGCCCAGCAAGAGGAAGAAGAACAAGCGCCGCAUGAGAAGGGUGCAGGCCCAGAGGAGAGUCCUUGAGGAGCAGCAUUCUACUGGCGCAGGCAAAGGAACCCCAGGAGUGGCUGCCGUGGCACCCCCCCUUGAAAUAUUAAAUUGUCCCCCCCUUCUCUCACCCCCUCCAGUAGUAAAGGUCCCAGUCGUAAAGCCCCCUGAAAUAUCCAAUUGUCACCCCCUUAUUCCCCCCACUAUAGUAGUAAAGGUCCCAUUCGUACAGCCACCGGCCCCAGUCAAAGUACCAGAUCCUGAGGCUGUGGUGACGGUGGUAGAGCCUGAAGUGGUAGCAGCUGAGGUUGAAGUUGAGGCCCCAGUCGAAGCUCCAGUGGAGGUUGAAGUCGAGGCCCCAGAAGAAGUUCCAGAAGAAGUCCCAGUCGAGGCCCCAGAAGAAGUCCCAGUCGAGGCCCCAGUCGAGGCCCCAGAAGAAGUCCCAGUCGAGGCCCCAGAAGAAGUCCCAGUCGAGACCCCAGAAGAAGUCCCAGUCGAGACCCCAGAAGAAGUCCCAGUCGAGGCUCCAGAAGAAGUCCCAGUUGAGGUCCCAGUCGUAGAAGCAGAAGCUCCUGUUGAGCCCCCUACAGAAGAAACUGCAGCAGGGCAGGAAGUUGAAGAAAGCAUCAUUCCAGAGACUGAGCCAGUAACUGAGGCCAUACCCAUUCCUGAGGCCCCUGUGUCAGCUCUUGCUGAAUUUGAGGUUCAGGUCGCAAACUCCGUAGCGAUUACCACAGAGAUCGCACAGACUCAUGAUGAGCCGGGGCUCGAGGCUGAAGUGGAGGCUGAAAUAGUUGACGAGGUCCAAGCGAAAGUAGAGGCAGUAGUUGAGGAAGAACCAGAGCCCGAUCCCAUGGUCAAGGCCGAAGCUGCCCCAGUUGUAGAAGCUGAACUUGAACUGUCGGGAAUCAAAGACGGAGACAGUCCUAUCGUCAAAGCUGAAGCCAUUCCUGAAGAUAUUGAUGUAGAAGAGCAUGAGACUGUUAUGGCAGAGGCACCUGAAGAGGUUCCAGUGCAGACAGAAAUUAUCCCAGAAAAGCUGUGGAAGCCCGUGGAAGCACCGAUUGAAGAAGCCCCCGUAGCCAAGAUCGCUCCAGCAGAGCUCCUCGUAGAGGCCUCAGUAGACCCUGUCAUCAACACAAUGGCUGACUUUGCCAUCACAGAAUCUGUUCCCGUUGUGGAAGCAGCCAUGGCUGAGCAGGUGCCCGCAGUUUCAACGGAUUCACUUGACGCCCUAUCGGAGUUGCUGAACGACAUCACUCUAGUCACUGAGCCCGCCCCUGUCACAGCUGAUAAAGUCAUUGACGAGCCAGAGUGUGAGGAGAAAGACGUGACAGAGAUGAGGGCUAAAGAGGAAAUUGGAGCCCAGAUGGAAAUCGAGGCUAAAAAGGAUGCCAUAGAUGAGAAGACGGUCCUUGACGUCAUCUCUGGAGAUUUAUCCACCCCCCACCCUGUUAUCUCAGAACUGCAGUGUCACACGCAGCUCGCCGCCCCCAAGGAAAUCCCAACAGAGGCAGUGCUGAAUGGACAGAUGGCAGCUGAGGUGGCCAUUGAGGGAUAGAUCUCUAUGGAUGUCCUCAGUCAGUAUGAAAGACUAAAGAGAGCCUGACAGUGAGCCGACCAGCGAACUUUACUUUUCAUUUUUUAGGGCUUAAAGGGACCGCUGGGAAAUUUGACAGACAUCCAACACUCAGUGCCUUUCUUGCUUGGGUUCUUACAAACAAAAUAUUAAACAAGUUUAAAAUGCGACAUGAAGGUGGGGGAAUAACACUUUUUUGUUGUUGAUCAGAAUGUGACAAUUUGGAAUAAACAAAUCAUGGCUUUCAUAGAUUUCUGUAUCCCAUUGCAUAUAUUGUGGAUUUGCCUCAAUUGUAAAUGGCAUGCAUUGUGUAUGAAUACUGUAGAAUUAAUGAAUGUGGCAAUGGCUUGUCUUCACAUGUUUGUAUGGAUGAGAGGGAUUAAUUCCUUGUACACGUUUCCUGUUUUAACCUGGUUUGAUUCCUUUUUGUGAAGGGACAGUAUGGCAGUUUGUACAGUACCAUAGCUACCCCCUCUUCUCCCUAUCCCCAUUGUGGUACUUUUGUUUUUUCAGGGACUGUAUGAUGACAGCUCCACCCUCUUUACUGUGUAGUGUCAGUGUGUCUACAGUCCCAAGUCUGUCCUGGGCAAUGUGAAAUGGUGUGUAGUUUUAGGUCCUCUGACCAGAUGCUCUUAACAUUUAAUUACCUAUGCUGCCAACUUAAAAUAGAGUAUGGGGGCCUGUAGAUCCUGUUUUUAGUUUUUCUUUUCUUUUUCUGUUUUGUAUAGACCAUAUGAUGUGGUACAACCGCUGUUUGUGUUCAGUUACGUGCUCUGGAAUUGACCAUGGAGUUGUCAUGUAAUUGAGGAGCUGGGUUGGAUUUCAUUCACCUUUUUGAAUAAAGAUGUUACUCACCAAGUUCUUGAUUCAGUUGUUGGCCUGUGUUCUACAUUCCUUAGUAAUAAUGUUUUUGUUUGUUUUAACACAUUCAGCUUGAGUUCCACAUUAGCAUAACGUUUGAAACUAUAAAUAGUUCCAGGCAGCUGAAGCAAGCACAUUUU
ensembl:lncRNA